CACGCACCCCAAGAAAACCAUCCCGUAGAACCACCCCGCAGGAGGAAUGCGGUUCCUCUCGAUCCCCUCCCGUCGCCGCCGCCGUCCUCUCGAUCCCCUCCCGUCGCCGCCACCGUCCUCUCGAUCCCCUCGAUUAAGCGGCGCCGCCGUUGGCUCCCGAUCUCCUCGAUUAAACGCCGCCGCCGUCGCCUCUCGAUGCCCUCGAGAUCGCUGCGCCGCCAUCGUCUCUCCAUCCCCUUGAGAUCCCAGAUCCCACACCGCCACUGCCGGCGCCUCCUCCGCUGGCGACGCGGCGAACGAGAUUAGACAGCCAAAAGUAUUCAUCACCUCCGUAUGAGAUCGCUCCGCCGACGCGCUCCCCUCCAUAUCGUCAAUCCCCGUAUGAGAUCGCAGGCAGCCCACCUCUCCCCUCCCGGCGGCCCUCCUUCACCGCAGUGUCCUUUACUCGGCCCCGUCCGCCCAAGUCUCUUCCCCGUUGCGGCACCUAUCAGCCGCGACCGCGAUGCCCGUCGACCACAAGCAGCCGCCCAAUUUGUCUAUAGGUUCUCUAAGGUUGUGAGAGCAGCAAUGCUACCAGUCCGUGGCAAACGAGUGGCUCUUGGUGCUCGACAAGGUGCCUGAGCAGGGCAUCAGAGGAGGUGGCCCGGCCCCCAACCUGCUUUCCCCAAAUUUGCUCGGUUGGAAUGCAAAUCUCUCAAGCCCCUGCAACUCCCAAGGUCUUAUGCUUGGUUUUUAAAAUUUUCCACGAGGAUGCAGCAAACUUGAUUUCUGAAGAGUAGACAUGCUCUCCAUCUCGUCAAGGAACAACUUGUACAUGACCAUGCUCAAGUUGCAAUGACUUGAUACCUCAUGGCAAACAUGGUACCUGGCAGAUAUUUAAUUUUGCUCAUCUCACGUGCCUUACUACAUUAAUAUGUCUAUCGUACCUCAAAGUCCAACCUAUAUAGUCUAUAAACAACUCCAGUUAUUUUUCUUUAUCAAGUUUAAAUAUUUCAGUUCUAUUUUCGGGUUGGAAUUUAUCCCUGGUCAGGCAAGGGGCUGCGGCAGCUUGGCAUUGCCGGGCAUAAUUAGUGUGUGUACUAUACUCCAAAUUCCAACCUAUGGCCUACAAACAAUUCAAGUUCUUUUCCUUUGUCAAGUUUAAAUAUUUCAACUCUGUUUCCGGGUUGGAGUUUAUCCCUGGCCAGGUGAGGGCUGAGGCAGCUUGGCGUUGCCGGAGCACAGGACAGAGGCACUAGGCGCAGGCCUGGGGCAUACCUCCCUGGCCUCCUCGCCUGCCCCCUUGCCAAUGGGCCCUGUGUCCAGUAGACGGAAGAGGACGGCGUUGCCCAUGGCGACCUCGUCGCCUCCUAAAGUUGCAUUCACUAGAUGGUUUUCCCCGGUGAGAACAUUUUGAAGGUUAUCUCUUUAGGUUCUUGUAUUUAGCUCACGGCUCCAACUUUUGUUGAAGGGAAACUCAAGGUUUCCACUUGAUAUGCCCUCUCUUUCAUUUGGUUUAUUAGAGCAUAGAAUUGGCAAAUUUAGUCACCUAAAAGCAAUUUUAGGUAUAGGAGAUAUAAAGUGAGGGGAAUCCUUUGUUUUUGUUCUUCUCUAACAGAUACAUAAAUUUGUACCAUGAAUCAGACAUGUGUGUGCGAGGAAGGGAAGAGGAGAGAAACUUUGACAUUUUUCAUAACUUUCUUUUUCCGUGGCAACGCAUGACCGUGGCACCUUACAAGAUGAUAAAGAUCAACACUGAUGUUCUGAUGUUCUGAUAACUGCAAAAUAGGAAUGCAUGCAUCAAUGGGCAUGAAGGGCGUGGGUUGAAGACCAAUAUUCUACAUUGUUCGGUCUAUUUAAAGUGCAGAGGCUUCGAAAUCAGCACGCAUGCCAGCUUUUCUUGUGAGCCCGAGUCCAUUAUCUUGCCCCGUGGCAAAGAAGUAUAUUUCAAGUUUCUUGGAUGCGUCUGUUAGCUGCUAAGGUUGAUUUAAUCAGGCAGCUUAUUGAUCUCAAGAACUCUUCAAUCUCAGAUGGUCAUCUCCCUUUCCAGCCGACAUAGAAAGAAAAACUCAAUGGUGAUCCCAACAUCUAGAGCCACUUUUAAUCUAUGGGAGCUCAAUUCAUUUUUUUAACAAAAAUGUGAGUUUGGAUGCGGUCUUCAGAUGAAUCAAGCCUGAGAUCCACAGGUGUCGUGGGCUAAUUAGCUGUGAGUUCCAAAGAUGCAAAGUAUUUUGUACCCUCCAUUUGGAAAUACUUGUCGCAUAAAUGGACAAAAGAAUAUGUAUCUAGAACUAUAAUAUGUCUAGGCACAUCUUUCUCCUACAAUAAUUCCGGACGGAGGGAGUAUGUUUCAUGAAAGAAUAUUAACGCAACAACUAAUUUAUGAUAACUACUGUAUCAUUUGGAUCCUAUAAAUGGCAUGUAUAUCAUCUUCCUCUGGUUUCUA